GACGAACGCUGGCGGCGUGCUUAACACAUGCAAGUCGAACGAAAAGGCCCUGCUUUUGUGGGGUUCUCGAGUGGCGAACGGGUGCGUAACACUUGAGUAACCUGCCCUUGCCUUUGGGAUAACUUCAAGAAACUGGGGCUAAUACCGGAUAGGAGCUCCAGCUGCAUGGUGGUGGUUGGAAAGGUUCGGCGGUUGGGGAUGGACUCGAGGCUUAUCAGCUUGUUGGUGGGGUAGUGGCUUACCAAGGCUUUGACGGGUAGCCGGCCUUGGAGGGGGACCGGCCACAAUGGGACUGAGAUACGGCCCAGACUGCUACGGGAGGCAGCAGUGGGGAAUAUGGCAGAAUGGGGGGAAGCCUGAGGCAGCAACGCCGGGUGCGGGAUGACGGCCUUUGGGUGGUAAACCGCUUUCGGCUGAGACGAAGCGUGAGUGACGGUAAUGGGUAAAGAAGCAACGGCUAACUACGUG
rnacentral:rRNA from 1 species